rnacentral:rRNA from 1 species
AAAAAAAAACAAUAAAUCAAAACUUUCAACAACGGAUCUCUUGGUUCUGGCAUCGAUGAAGAACUCUCCCGAAAUGCGAUAAGUAAUGUGAAUUGCAGAAUUCAGUGAAUCAUCAAAUCUUUGAACGCACAUGGCGCCCGCCAGUAUUCUGGCGGG